UGGACCCUUGUGGAUGAUGCUAGAGCUCUGAGAAGCAGCCUUGCACCUCUCUUACUCUCUCUCUCUAGAAGUUUUCUCUCUCUACAUAGAAAUCAAUGAUUUAGCUCGAUUUCGUCGCCUCGCUUGUUCUUCGCUGCUUGCGAGUGUCACUGAGCCUUUGUGGACGUGUGAGAGGGUAUUUUGGAAGGUUUUUCGCAGCACCAAACCAGUGAGUUGCUGGUUGGAAGCUUGAGAAGCAGGUUUGCGAAUCACAUUAAGCUCUUUUGGUGACCUGGGAGGCUGGUUUAGAAGGUGUUCCAACUAAAGCGGGCUUGCAACGGACUUUCGGAGUAUCUCCGGCUGAUGUGUAAAGGCUUUUAGAAGCUUAACUUGAGCAGAGUUGGGACUCCGUUGAGUAGAGUUUCGGGACUUCUUGUGGCUGGAUUGAGCUUCAUAAUAGAGCCUUCCACCGCGGGAAAGGCUAGGG